rnacentral:rRNA from 1 species
GAUGAACGCUGGCGGCGUGCCUAAUACAUGCAAGUCGAGCGGAGCGACGGACGGGUGUGUGAUGCCUAGGGAUCUGCCUGGUAGUGGGGGAUAACGUCCGGGAACGGGCGCUAAUAACGCAUACUAUCAGAUGAGCCUCGGUCGGAUUAGCUAGUUGGUGGGGUAAAGGCCUACAAAGGCGACGAUCAGUCACUGGUCUGAGAGGAUGAUCAGUCAAACUGGAACUGAGACACGGUCCAGAUGCCUACGGGAGGCAGCAGUGGGGAAUAUUGGACAAGGGGCGAAAGCCGGAUCCAGCAAUGCCGCGUGUGUGAAGAAGGUCAGCGGACUGUAAAGCAUGUUAAGUUGGGAGGCGGUACCAAAAGAAUAAGCACCGGCUAACUACGUGCCAGCCGCCGCGGUAAUAC